rnacentral:rRNA from 1 species
CCUACGGGAGGCAGCAGUGAGGAAUAUUGGUCAAUGGGCGAGAUCCUGAACCAGCCAAGCCGCGUGCGGGAUGACGGCCCUAUGGGUUGUAAACCUCUUUUGUCCGAGAACAAAACCCGGGACGUGUCCAGGACUGCGUGUAUCCGAAGAAAAAGCAUCGGCUAACUCCGUGCCAGCAGCCGCGGUAAUACGGAGGAUGCGAGCGUUAUCCGGAUUUAUUGGGUUUAAAGGGUGCGUAGGCGGUCCGUUAAGUCAGCGGUAAAAUUGCGGGGCUCAACCCCGUCGAGCCGUUGAAACUGGCAGACUUGAGUUGACGAGAGGUACGCGGAAUGCGCGGUGUAGCGGUGAAAUGCAUAGAUAUCGCGAAGAACUCCGAUUGCGAAGGCAGCCUACCGGGGUGCGACUGACGCUGAGGCACGAAAGCGCGGGGAUCAAACAGGAUUAGAUACCCUAGUAGUC